rnacentral:tRNA from 1 species
GGCCGUCCCGUGGCUCAGUGGCAGAGCGUCGGUUUUGCAAUCCUAAGAGCCUCAGUUCGAUUCCCCGGCGUGGUUC